AGCGAACGCUGGCGGCAGGCCUAACACAUGCAAGUCGAACGAACUCUUCGGAGUUAGUGGCGGACGGGUGAGUAACACGUGGGAACGUGCCUUUUGGUUCGGAAUAACUCAGGGAAACUUGUGCUAAUACCGAAUGUGCCCUUCGGGGGAAAGAUUUAUCGCCAUUAGAGCGGCCCGCGUCUGAUUAGCUAGUUGGUGAGGUAACGGCUCACCAAGGCGACGAUCAGUAGCUGGUCUGAGAGGAUGACCAGCCACACUGGGACUGAGACGCGGCCCAGACUCCUACGGGAGGCCGCAGUGGGGAAUCGUGCGCAGUGGGCGAAAGGCUGACGCAGCCAUGCCGCGUGAAUGAUGAAGGUCUUAGGAUUGUAAAAUUCUUUCAACGGGGACGAUAAUGACGGUACCCGGAGAAGAAGCCCCGGCUAACUUCGUG
rnacentral:rRNA from 1 species